rnacentral:lncRNA from 10 species
CAUCGGAAAAGGACAGGGGUAGGGAAGCCGAGGACCCACGGGCUGCGUUCGUGCUGCUGGGUCGGGAAGGAGGAAGCGUGACAGCUGGAGCGGGAGAAAUGAGCCUUCCUGAGGAAGAAUGGCAAAUAUUACUGGGCAUCUCUUCAGCCUCAGCACAGACAAGCCCACAUCCCCCAACCAUGCCAGUAUCGUAACUUCCUCCUAUACUACGCAAUGACACCCUCUACACACACACACACACGCACACACACACACACACACACACACACACACAACCCCCUCAGCCAGGUGUAGCACUGCAGUCUUCAGUGUUUGUGGAGGCUUAAUAAGUUUUGAGGCUUCAAGCAAAUGAUUCCCUCUUGAGGGCUACCUACUAGCAGCAACGGUCAGGGAGAGGAGGAGGAUACAGUCUAUGAUGUGAUUAAGGAAUUCAGAAGUCCAGAUAUAACUUCCCCAAGUCACACAGUGGUAUCAGAGCUAAGAAUGGGACCCAGAUAUGACUGAUCUAGUUCUGUUCCAAAACCGUGCUGUAUUAUAUUA